rnacentral:rRNA from 1 species
AACGAACGCUGGCGGCAGGCUUAACACAUGCAAGUCGAGCGCCCCGCAAGGGGAGCGGCAGACGGGUGAGUAACGCGUGGGAACGUACCUUUUGGUUCGGAACAACUCCGGGAAACUGGAGCUAAUACCGGAUAAGCCCUAACGGGGAAAGAUUUAUCGCCGAAAGAUCGGCCCGCGUCUGAUUAGCUAGUUGGUGAGGUAACGGCUCACCAAGGCGACGAUCAGUAGCUGGUCUGAGAGGAUGAUCAGCCACACUGGGACUGAGACACGGCCCAGACUCCUACGGGAGGCAGCAGUGGGGAAUAUUGGACAAUGGGCGCAAGCCUGAUCCAGCCAUGCCGCGUGAGUGAUGAAGGCCUUAGGGUUGUAAAGCUCUUUUGACCGGGAAGAUAAUGACUGUACCGGAAGAAUAAGCCCCGGCUAACUUCGUG